AAAACGGAUUGUUUGUACUGUUUUACUUUUAGGAAUCACCAUGCUAUGCUAAAUAAAUCGAAACUAUUUCAGAAGUCUGUAAUUUGACUGUUGGUUCCAUGUUGAUGAGGAAAAAUGAUAAAUACAAGACAAUUAAUAAGCCAAUUCCACUGUCAAGUGUCUGGGUGUAUAUAUGAAGAAGGAUCAACCAGGUAUUUCAAGUCAAAGAAAUUACUUAAUCAGCAUUAUGAGAAAGUUCAUCAAGAAAAGAAGUUACCAUGUUCAAAGUGUGAU